UAGGGAAUAUUAGUUAAUGUGCGAAAGCGCGAACUAGCAACGCCGCGUGUGCGAUGAAGGUCUUCGGAUCGUAAAGCACUUUUCGAGAAGAUGAGGAAGGACAGUACUCUCGGAAUAAGUCUCGGCUAACUACGUGCCAGCAGCCGCGGUAAAACGUAGGAGGCAAGCGUUAUCCGGAUUUACUGGGCGUAAAGCGCGUGCAGGCGGUUUGGUAAGUUGGAUGUGAAAGCUCCCGGCUCAACUGGGAGAGGUCGUUCAAAACUACCAGACUUGGAGGCGGUAGAGGGAAGUGGAAUUCCGUGUGUAGGGGUGAAAUGCGUAGGUAUACGGAGGAACACCAGGGGCGAAAGCGGCUUCCUGG
rnacentral:rRNA from 1 species